UUUCAGCAGUGAGGAAGUGGGUAUGUUAAUAGCAUACUCAUUUGACGUUAGCUGCAGAAGAAGCACCGGCUAACUCCGUGCCAGCAGCCGCGGUAAUACGGAGGGUGCGAGCGUUAAUCGGAAUUACUGGGCGUAAAGCGCAUGCAGGUGGUUUGUUAAGUCAGAUGUGAAAGCCCGGGGCUCAACCUCGGAAUUGCAUUUGAAACUGGCAAACUAGAGUACUGUAGAGGGGGUAGAAUUUCAGGUGUAGCGGUGAAAUGCGUAGAGAUCUGAAGGAAUACCGGUGGCGAAGGCGGCCCCCUGGACAGAUACUGACACUCAGAUGCGAAAGCGUGGGGAGCAAACAGGAUUAGAUACCCUGGUAG
rnacentral:rRNA from 1 species